rnacentral:lncRNA from 1 species
GUAAGAUUCCAUUGAUUGUAAGCUGCACUGUUGGUUCAAUUACCUUUUGGUGCUAAAAGUUAGCAUCAUGCUCAAUGGAUAUAUAGAGUAAAAAAAAAAAAAAAAUCCUGUGUCAGAAAUGUUAAAAUACAACUGUGUGGGGGGCUAGCCCUGUGGCCUACUAGUUAAGUUCUCAUGCUCUGCUUUGGCAGCCCACAGUUUUGCCAGUUCGGAUCCUGGGCACAGACUUAGUGCCACUCAUCAAGUCAUGCUGAGGUGGCAUCCCACACAGCAGACCAGAGGGACCUACAAUUACUAUAUACAACUAUAUACUGGGGGGCUUCGAGGAGAAGAAGAAAAAAAAAAGAUUGGCAACAGAUGUUAGCUCAGGUGCCAAUCUUUAAAAAAAAAAAAAGACUGUGGGCAUAAUGAGGUGUCUUAAGAUUAAAGAAGUAAGCUGCAUAUACACAGCAGCUUUCUAAAUAGCAGGUUCUUAAUCUUUCCUUUUAUGUGGCAAGGUUAACUGAUGACUAAAAUUCGUCAAAGUUAUUUUCGCUAGCGAUAGGAAAGAACAAACUCUGAGUUUCUGUUAUUGGCAUGACAUCAUACUGGGCAUUUGGGUUACAAAGACGUAUGAAUAUGAUCAAUUUUUUUAUAUAGACAGAAGAAAAUUUACUAAGGAGGAAACAGCACAAUUGGUGCUAACAAUUUGGAAGCAUUCACAGAAUAGAUUGUAGUUUGUAGGGACUGGCCCAGUAAUGUAGCAGUUAAGUUCGAGCGCUCAGCUUUGGCAUCCUGGGGUUCACAGGUUCGGAUCUGGGUGCGAACCUACACACAGCUCAUCAAGUCAUGCUCUGGCAGCAUCCCUCAUACAAAAUAGAGGAAGAUUGGCACAGAUGUUAGCUCAGAUGCUAAUCUUUCUCACCAAAAAGGAAGGAAGGAAGGCAGAAAGGAAGGAAGGAAGGAAGAAAGGGGAGCGUUAUAAAGAUCAUAAACAUUCUUUAAAAAAAGAAAAGCAUAGAUUGAACUGUAGACAAGGAGCAGGAUUUAAAUCUGUGUAGAACAGAG